GAUAUUUUAUUUGAUCGAUAAUUUUGGGCCACAAUCCCAAGCCCACAAAUUGAGCCCAAUUAACAAUUAUUUCCUAUAUAAGUUUUGGUUAGGUUAAAAAAUAGGGGUGGUGAAAUAAAAAUUAGGGUGGGUGUAUAAUUUUCAGAAUGAGUAUGGAUGUAUUUUUUCCUUUUUUGAGCCGCCAAGGUCUCACCACAGCCAUCCAAAAACCCACUUCGUCCUCUUUUCCGGCGAGACUCCAUCAGAACCAACCCACAACAACUCCAAACAAAUCCAAAACCACCAAAAGACCAUUGUCCUCCCUUACUACAUGCUACGGUUCACUGACUAGGGAAGCCAUUGACACCGCUCCGAAGAAACAACCAUUUUCCCUCUUCUGUUUAUUUCUCUUGCGGCUAGCUCUGGUGAGGAGCUUCAAGCUCCGAUUAACCGGAGCAAAUCCAGUCGCGACUCAGUCCCCUUCCCCUUCCCCUUGACGAGUUUGGUUUGUUUUGCAGGUGUAAGAUCUCCAUCUCCGACGUGACUCCAACACCGGUGAGCGACAAUCAGAUCUGGCUUGAAUUGUGACCUAUUCUGUCUUACCAUUGAAGAAAUAAAGCUCAAAUGAAGGUACUCGGAUGUGCUUCCCAUUGAAGCUAUUCAAAUAAGGUUCGAAUUAUACCCUUAUUCAUUAUUGUAUAUUAUUGACGAUAGGCAAAUUUAGGCCAAUUCAUAUAUUAUUGUUUUAUCAUAUUACUUGUGUA